rnacentral:rRNA from 1 species
CACGUAGGGCGCAAGCGUUGUCCGGAUUUAUUGGGCGUAAAGAGCGUGUAGGCGGUUUGGUAGGUCCGCUGUGAAAACUCGAGGCUCAACCUCGAGACGUCGGUUGAAACCAUCUGGCUAGAGUCCGGAAGAGGAGUGUGGAAUUCCCGGUGUAGCGGUGAAAUGCGCAGAUAUCGGGAAGAACACCCGUGGCGAAGGCGGCACUCUGGGACGGUACUGACGCUGAGACGCGAAAGCGUGGGGAGCGAACAGG